UACGGAGGGUGCAAGCGUUGUUCGGAAUCACUGGGCGUAAAGGGCGUGUAGGCGGUCCGCUAAGUCUGAUGUGAAAGCCCGGGGCUCACCCCCGGAAGGGCAUUGGAAACUGGCGGACUCGAGUCCCGGAGAGGAAGGUGGAAUUCCUGGUGUAGCGGUGAAAUGCGUAGAUAUCAGGAGGAACACCGAUGGCGAAGGCAAUCCCCUGGACCUGUACUGACGCUCAUGCACGAAAGCGUGGGGAGCAAACAGG
rnacentral:rRNA from 1 species